rnacentral:pre_miRNA from 1 species
UGGCUUUCGAGGCUUGUUUUAAGUUGCCUGCGAAUUUUAUCUGUUACACAGGCAGCUAAAGCAAGCCUUGAACACCA